rnacentral:misc_RNA from 1 species
AUUUUCGUCCUGCGAGGCAGUUAGUAUGAGAACCUGGUCAGACCUUGAUCGGAGCAGCCAUAAUCAUACGAAUUGUGCUUGCCGGGUAGCGGGAAGGAGG